UACGGGGGGGGCAAGCGUUGUUCGGAAUUACUGGGCGUAAAGGGCUCGUAGGCGGCCAACUAAGUCAGACGUGAAAUCCCUCGGCUUAACCGGGGAACUGCGUCUGAUACUGGAUGGCUUGAGUUUGGGAGAGGGAUGCGGAAUUCCAGGUGUAGCGGUGAAAUGCGUAGAUAUCUGGAGGAACACCGGUGGCGAAGGCGGCAUCCUGGACCAACACUGAGGCACGAAAGCUAGGGGAGCAAACAGG
rnacentral:rRNA from 1 species